UCAAGUAAUUAAGUGCAUGUGGUGGAUGCCUUGGCAGUCAGAGGCGAUGAAAGACGUGAUAGCCUGCGAAAAGCUCCGGGGAGGCGGCAAAUAUCCUUUGAUCCGGAGAUGUCUGAAUGGGGGAACCCACCUACUUUAAGGUAGGUAUUGCAACAUGAAUACAUAGUGUUGCAAGGCGAACGAGGGGAAGUGAAACAUCUCAGUACCCUUAGGAAAAGAAAUCAAUUGAGAUUCCCUCAGUAGCGGCGAGCGAACGGGGAUCAGCCCAUUAAGUUAUGUGUGUUUUAGUGGAACGCUCUGGGAAGUGCGAACGUAGAGGGUGAUAUUCCCGUACACGAAAGGGCACACAUAAUGAUGACGAGUAGGGCGAGGCACGUGAAACCUUGUCUGAAUAUGGGGGGACCAUCCUCCAAGGCUAAAUACUCCUGACUGACCGAUAGUGAACCAGUACCGUGAGGGAAAGGCGAAAAGAACCCCUGUGAGGGGAGUGAAAUAGAUCCUGAAACCGCAUGCAUACAAGCAGUGGGAGCACCUUCGUGGUGUGACUGCGUACCUUUUGUAUAAUGGGUCAGCGACUUAUAUUCAGUAGCGAGGUUAACCGUAUAGGGGAGCCGUAGAGAAAUCGAGUCUUAAUAGGGCGUUUAGUUGCUGGGUAUAGACCCGAAACCAGGCGAUCUAUCCAUGAGCAGGUUGAAGGUUGGGUAACACUAACUGGAGGACCGAACCCACUGUCGUUGAAAAGCCAGGGGAUGACUUGUGGAUAGGGGUGAAAGGCUAAUCAAGCCUGGUGAUAGCUGGUUCUCCCCGAAAGCUAUUUAGGUAGCGCCUCGGACGAAUACCAUAGGGGGUAGAGCACUGUUUCGGCUAGGGGGUCAUCCCGACUUACCAAACCGAUGCAAACUCCGAAUACCUAUGAGUACUAUCCGGGAGACAGACUGCGGGUGCUAACGUCCGUAGUCAAGAGGAAAACAAUCCAGACCGCCAGCUAAGGCCCCAAAAUCAUAGUUAAGUGGGAAACGAUGUGGGAAGGCAUAGACAGCUAGGAGGUUGGCUUAGAAGCAGCCACCCUUUAAAGAAAGCGUAAUAGCUCACUAGUCGAGUCGGCCUGCGCGGAAGAUGUAACGGGGCUAAAACUAUGUGCCGAAGCUGCGGAUGUAUACUUUGUAUACGUGGUAGGGGAGCGUUCUGUAAGCCGAUGAAGGUGUGUUGAGAAGCAUGCUGGAGGUAUCAGAAGUGCGAAUGCUGACGUGAGUAACGACAAAACGGGUGAAAAACCCGUUCGCCGAAAGACCAAGGGUUCCAGUCCAACGUUAAUCGGGGCUGGGUGAGUCGACCCCUAAGGCGAGGCCGAAAGGCGUAGUCGAUGGGAAAAUGGUUAAUAUUCCAUUACUUCUGUGUAAUGCGAUGAGAGGACGGAGAAGGCUAAAUCAGCCUGGCGUUGGUUGUCCAGGUGAAAGGAUGUAGGCAUGUAUCUUAGGCAAAUCCGGGGUACUCUAUGCUGAGAUCUGAUAGCAAGCUGUACUUGUACAGCGAAGUGGUUGAUGCCAUGCUUCCAGGAAAAGUCUCUAAGCUUCAGUUACACAGGAAUCGUACCCGAAACCGACACAGGUGGUCAGGUCGAGUAGACCAAGGCGCUUGAGAGAACUCUGCUGAAGGAACUAGGCAAAAUGGUACCGUAACUUCGGGAGAAGGUACGCUGUUGUUGGUGAUGGAACUCGCUUCCUGAGCUGACGACAGCCGCAGAAACCAGGCCGCUGCAACUGUUUAUUAAAAACAUAGCACUCUGCAAACACGAAAGUGGACGUAUAGGGUGUGAUGCCUGCCCGGUGCUGGAAGGUUAAUUGAUGGGGUUAGCGUAAGCGAAGCUCUUGAUCGAAGCCCCAGUAAACGGCGGCCGUAACUAUAACGGUCCUAAGGUAGCGAAAUUCCUUGUCGGGUAAGUUCCGACCUGCACGAAUGGCAUAAUGAUGGCGGCGCUGUCUCCAGCAGAGGCUCAGUGAAAUCGAAAUCGCUGUGAAGAUGCAGUGUACCCGCGGCUAGACGGAAAGACCCCGUGAACCUUUACUGCAGCUUGACACUGAACUUUGACCUUACUUGUGUAGGAUAGGUGGGAGGCUUUGAAGCUGGAACGCUAGUUCCAGUGGAGCCGUCCUUGAAAUACCACCCUGGUAAUGUUGAGGUUCUAACUCUGUCCCGUGAUCCGGGACGAGGACCGUGUCUGGUGGGUAGUUUGACUGGGGCGGUCUCCUCCUAAAGAGUAACGGAGGAGUACGAAGGUGCGCUCAGCGUGGUCGGAAAUCACGCGUAGAGUAUAAAGGCAAAAGCGCGCUUAACUGCGAGACCCACAAGUCGAGCAGGUACGAAAGUAGGUCUUAGUGAUCCGGUGGUUCUGUAUGGAAGGGCCAUCGCUCAACGGAUAAAAGGUACUCUGGGGAUAACAGGCUGAUACCGCCCAAGAGUUCAUAUCGACGGCGGUGUUUGGCACCUCGAUGUCGGCUCAUCUCAUCCUGGGGCUGAAGCAGGUCCCAAGGGUAUGGCUGUUCGCCAUUUAAAGAGGUACGCGAGCUGGGUUUAGAACGCCGUGAGACAGUUCGGUCCCUAUCUACCGUGGGCGCUGGAAAUUUGAGAGGAUCUGCUCCUAGUACGAGAGGACCAGAGUGGACGAACCUCUGGUGUACCGGUUGUGACGCCAGUCGCAUCGCCGGGUAGCUAUGUUCGGAAGGGAUAACCGCUGAAAGCAUCUAAGCGGGAAGCCUACCUCAAGAUAAGAUUUCCCUAGGACUUUAUGUCCUCUAAAGAGCCGUUCGAGACUAGGACGUUGAUAGGUUGGAUGUGGAAGCAUAGUGAUAUGUGAAGCUGACCAAUACUAAUUGCUCGUGAGGCUUGACUAU
rnacentral:rRNA from 2 species